GCGGCCGGCGGCGGAGCCCGGCCAGGGCGCAGCGGGCGCGCGCCCCCGACGAGCAGGCUGAACUGCGGGGUCGCGCGCAGAGCCACGCUCACCAAGAGCCCGGCCCCGCCCUACGGGGUCUGCGGCAGGCGCCCCGCGGGGCGGGCGGACCCCUCCCUUAAUGACCUCUACCUGGGCCGCCUCUGACCCGGGAGGGGCGCGGUGGGAGGGGCGCAGGGGCGGGGAGCGCCGCGGGGCGGGGGCCUUGGGCUUCUGGGUUAGUGACAGGCGCGCCGGGCCGCCGCCUCUGCGGCUCGGCCCGGGAGGACUAGGAAGUCCGGGCAUGUUAGUGAAAGUGGGACCGAACCGUAAGCUCUUGCUCUCAGUUUGGAAUAUUCUGGGUAAGCUGGGCAGACGCCAAGGAGCAGCUACCCCUCUGCACCAGGCUCUUCUCCCCACCACCUCUCCCCAGGGGACGUCUGGACACAGGAAAUUUCAGAAGACAUUUUCAAAGCUAAUUAUGAAAAAAUUUGUCAUUGGGAUUGGUGGUGUGACAAAUGGUGGGAAGACAACAUUGGCUCAAAAAUUGCAAAAACAUCUCCCAAAUUGCAGUGUCAUAUCUCAGGAUGAUUUCUUUAAGCCACCGUCUGAGAUAGAGACAGAUAAAAAUGGAUUUCUGCAGUACGAUGUGCUUGAAGCGCUUAACAUGGAAAAAAUGAUGUCCACCGUUUCUUGCUGGAUGAAAAGCCCAAGACACUCUCCGGUAUCAACAGACUGGAGAAACGCUGAGGAAGUUCCCAUAUUAAUCAUCGAAGGCUUCCUUCUCUUUAAUUUUAAGCCCCUUGAGACUGUAUGGAAUAGAAGAUACUUUCUGACCAUUCCAUAUGAAGAAUGUAAGAGGAGGAGGAGCACGAGGGUUUAUGAGCCUCCAGACCCUGAAGGGUACUUUGAUGGCCACGUGUGGCCCAUGUAUCUAAAGCACAGAGGAGAAAUAGAGAGCAUUGAGGAGAUUGUUUACCUGGAUGGGACAAAAUCUGAAGAGGAACUCUUUUCACAAGUGUAUGAAGAUCUAAGACAGGAACUUGCAAAGCAAAAAUUGUCCUGCAAAGCCAGCCUGGAGGGAUCCUCAGAAUAACCCGCUGUGACCCUUAAUUCAGGAAUGAGCUAGUGGGGAGGAGUUUCAGAUGUUUCAUUUGACUACACUUUACAUUUCUCAUAACAUCUCAUAACCCUGAUCAACUAAUUUUCCACUCUAAGCAUGUAAAAGCGUAAUUGUGAUAAAGUCAUAAUUAUGAAUGGGAAACAACAAAGACUGAAUUUGAUUGAUAAGAAACACUAAAUGACCCAGGAGAAUAAGGAUGUGAAGUUAUAUAUUUAAUUCCAUCCUUCUUAAAUCCAGACGUUGAAGCGAAUUUGAAUGAUUAUCUAUUCUCACUAUAAUAAGGCAGUCUAGUCACUAGCAUCAUUCAAACAUCCUUUAAGAAUAUUUACUUUUACCUCAUGAUAACAGUAUCCUGUCUAAUAAAGAGGGAAUAUGCAAAUUGACCAUCAUGCUAUCACAAAGAUGGCUGUGCCCUCAGCAGAGGCUGAAUUCCCAUAACAAGCCUUAACGAGCAAUCAGCAGGGACCUGAGGUUGAGCCCCCCACCCAGUGCUGGGCCAGGAGACCUGAGUUUGCACCCCCUACCCAGAGGGGCCCGCUGGGUCAGGGUCUCACAUGAUUUUGAGGCACCGUGGGUGGGUUGGGACUUGACUUUGGGUCCCACAGCACAUCCCAGACUCUAACGGGAGGAAGAUUUUCAUAUACAUUUUACUAAUUUUCUUUAAUCUCUAACACUUAUAGAGAAGGGUAAAUAGCAAUAUUAAAAUAUUUCCUUAAUUAAUCCCCUUUUAAUGUGCACGAAUUUCAUGCACUGGGCCACUAGUAUUGAUUAUAAAACAAAUUUUAAUGUAAAAGCAAAAGGAGAAAAAAAAUCAUUUAUAUGUCCACCAGUCAGCAUGUUAACAUUUUAAUGAGUAUACAUCCAGUGAUUUUGCUGUUCACAUUCAUCUGUCUUUUAUAUGGUUACAUGGUUCAUUGUGAUGCUUGUUUCCUUUUAAAGUUAAUAUUUAAUAUUUAAGAAGCUUUAUGGAGUCCAUUAUAUAAUGAAACUGAAUAAAACUAAAUUGCUCUCCCAGUU